UUUUUUUUUCGGGUAACAUACUCAAAUACUCAUUGUACACUACUUACCACGGAAUAAUAGAGUAGCCAAUUGAGUGAGAGAUGCCCUCGCCCUGCCUCCUGCCAGUGCAAACGCAACAAUGCCUAUCUCGGGUCAUCAGAUCAUGUGGGCGCCAUAUGGUUGGACUUGGGAGACGGGGGUUGGUGACGGGGACAGCUUGCCGCAACUGGUCGCUCUAGGAUUAGGGUCCCGAAAUACCAAACCUUGGAUGCAUUAGCAGGACGACCCAGCAGGUUUUUGUACUGGUGUCAGAAUUUAUCUACUGUUAUUACUGACCCACCAGCAUGUUUCUUCUCACACACAAGUUUAUCCCAAAUUCUACGAACAAUCACUGAUAAGUGGGUCCAGCCGUCGAUCAAAUUAUGUUCGUGCAAUCGUUUACAUAGCAGAGUUCUGUCCAGGCAGGAGCCACACAAUCGUGUACCUCGCCUGCAGUGGCCAGUUUCCUCUAUCGGCCGGGAGCACGCGAACGACCGAACUUUCCCUCCCUCACGGGCACAGCGGCUGACAAGAACGAGAGGCACGCACAGCGUCAUGUAGCGCUAGAAUCUUUCCUAGCCGGUGAACGUUGCCCCGGAAUCCCUGACAACACCAGCGGCUCGUGCCCACCCGGCCACCCACGCGGUACGCUUGCCUCCCCCUUCGGACGCGCCAUGCAUGUGCCGCCACCGGCGCUGGAGCCCAGCGUCGUACCUCCCUACGCCGCGCCCAAACAGUGCGUUCCACCGAUGUGCCCAAACAGUGCGUUCCACCGAUGUGCCCAAACAGUGCGUUCCACCGAUGAAAAUUGCGCGAGAUCACGAGCUCUUCGUCGUCUUUAUCCCCCGUGAAAGCUACGGCUACGAGCCUACGACGAGGUUGCUACUGCAACACGAGCGGCCAUGUACAUGCAUGCGACAGUGAUAGGAGUAGGAGCAAGUCGGAAUUUUAACGUCGUUGAAUUGAUCAUCAAUGGCAGGCGCGGUCCGCGCGGAUGGUCCAAGGAGACAAUAAUAAACGCUAAGCUAGCUACUCGCCCCCGAAUGGCGGAUGGGGCAGGGCGGGAGUACAAUGCUCGCGUGAGUCGUGUACCCGCCGCGGGCGAAACCUUCGUGACAACAAUGGGGGAAUAAAUUCCGACCGGUUUCCACCGCACACGGCACAGCGCAGUCACCCUGGCAAAUACGUACGCCGCCUCGCCCGCCUCUGUACAUCCCCGGUCAUCCUCGGUGCCGGAACGCCGGAGCCGUGCCGCGACGGGUUGGCGCGCCGGCCGCGCGGGAUCACAUGACGACGUCGGAGCGGUGGCCGCGCCCUCCGCGGCGGUGCCGGCGGUCGCCGCCGUACUUCAUCCCGUCCGGGCCGAACAAGCGCGGGAGCGCGGCGGCGUCACACUCUGACAGAGCGACCGGGUACCGGCGGCGGUCGUGGCAGUAGGAGUAGGACAUGUGCCCACGCC
rnacentral:lncRNA from 1 species